GUCAAGAUGGUGGAGUGGUUAACACGUUCGCCUGCUAGACUCUUGAGGAGUUAGUCAGCGGAUGCCUUCGGGCGCGCAGGUUCGAAUCCUGUUCUUGACG
rnacentral:tRNA from 1 species